UACGUAGGGGGCCAGCGUUGUCCGGAAUCAUUGGGCGUAAAGCGCGCGUAGGCGGCCAGAUAAGUCCGGUGUGAAAGUCAAAGGCUCAACCUUUGAAUGCCGCUGGAAACUGUCUGGCUUGAGUCCGGAAGGGGCGAGUGGAAUUCCUGGUGUAGCGGUGAAAUGCGCAGAUAUCAGGAGGAACACCAAUGGCGAAGGCAGCUCGCUGGAACGGUACUGACACUGAGGCGCGAAAGCGUGGGGAGCAAACAGG
rnacentral:rRNA from 1 species